GCGCGCACCUGCUCAGCGCCUUGAUCCGCUCCUCAUACACGGCAGCUAUGUUCUUUCAUUUUUUUCCCCUCAUUGAUUUUAUGCUAGAAAUCUUGUUGCCUCGAAGUUAUUUUUGGCUUGAAAAAUAAUAAUAAUAAUUUAAAAAAAGACCUCAGACUACACCACAGCUUGUGUGGUGGGGAAAAAAAAAGAUUAAAAAAAUCCCAUCUUUUUUAGAAAUAUUUUGAUGCUCCACCUAAUAGCCCUACGAGUACCUGCCUCCUUUCACAUUCUGUGAGUUUCCCACGGAGGAAACACCAACUAAGAAGUUCUUCUGUAAGAACAAGUGAAUUGAGCUGGACGAAGGCACAAGAACCAGGGCUCCAGAGUUCUCCAGAGUUCUACAGCCACAGGAAGCACAGAGUACUGCUGGGGAGGAGAUUUGCUUCCCUGGCUCCUGCAGCUUGGACACCAGCAUGAAGCAAUCAGGAGGGUAAUCAAGGAGAAAGGUGUACAAGAAUUGCCACAAGAACAUUGUGUCUUACUAGGAGUUCCCAGUGCUAGUGUAACUCAGAGUUUAAGUUUUCUCAAAACAUCUCGAAAGAGAACUGAAGUCUCACUGCAGUGAAAUAAUCUUUCUGGCCCCCACCGGCAACUACUUACAGUGGAAAGCAACAGUGGGAAGCCAUUAAUAUGCAGUUAUUGAUCAUGUUACCAAAAUGAAUUACUAAGAGAAAGGCUGAAAGCUGUCCCCUGAUCUUUUUAUGAUGACUCUGUGACAAAAGAGCUUCCAAAGCACUCAGUGAACACUGAACUCCCUGCUUACCUUUACAAGUGUUUGUUCCCCCCGUCUUUGGAGCAGGAAGCUCCAAGUGGUAAUAACCCGCAGGUACCCAACAGCAGGAGUGCUGAAGGAAUGUUAGGAGGGUUCACUGACCGAUGCUGUCAUCUGAUGGAUUCAUUGCCCAGAUUUAUGAGUUUACAUAAAAACCUGCAGUGCUGUUCAUGGACCCUCCGUGGUGGACCAGUGGAAUUCCUGAGAGAGCAGCUCUGGGACAAUCACUUCAGUUCGGUAAAUCUUUGUCUUCCUUUGCUUUGCUAGGUUGCAUAAAGUCAUUGGUUCAAGGUCAAUUUCUGUGUGCUUCCUCAAGUGUCCCCAAACCAGCUCUGACAUAACCUCAAUCAGACCUUUAUUACAAGGCAGCACCACAGUGUGAUGAAGGAAGUAGAACAAACCAAAUAUCUGAACCUUCAGAAUCUACUUAAAAAAAAAAAAUCACCUUUAAAAUCCCCUUGACGAAUUUCAGGUCACAGCUUAUUGGUGGUUCUCCUGGUGCCAGUCAGGGAUUUACGUUUCCUCCGCCAAGAAGGAAAACCUUUCUACCUCCAAAGUUGAUGCCUAAGCCUGAACCUCUGGCCAAAGCUAUUUUCCCUACAGUAACAUCUCCCUUGCUUACUCUUCUAUAAAGCAAACUCCUUAACUGCUUCCAGAAAUAUUCUGGGCAUCUGCUCCUCUCUGUUGUAUUUUAAUUUGCCCUUUUUAUCUUUGUGGUGUUUUUCAGCAUUCUUUCCUCAGUUAGUUCUUCACAUUUGAUCCUCAUAAUUCACUGGAUGUUUUUUUAUUAAAAAAACAAAAAAAAAACCAAAAAAAAACAAAACAAAA